AUGCUAUUCACUUAAUGCCCCUUGUUUUGGACUUAAUGUGCAUUAAUGCAAUUGUCUGCCUCUUCUUUUAGACUAAGACUUGAUUUCCACAUACUUCUCUUCCAUCAGGGGCAUGUUAACUAUGAAUGGACCCUUUUCUUUUGAAUAUUAAUGUCAUAAUUCUAUUUGUGGACCUGUGUAGUAGAAAAAGACCCUGUGUUCCUACCACUAUGCUUUGGAUUGCUACUGAGGAGUGCUAACUACUCAUAAUCUCAGCUCUUGGACAAUUAACAUGCAAUAAUAACAAUUAUCAAGGGUACUGAUUAUUAGAUAAGAUUCCUUGAUCUUUUUUGCAUACAUCGGGGAUACUGACCCACUAAGGUCCCUUGUACUAUUAAUGUGCAUAUUUGUAAUUACACAUGUUUCCUUCUGUUAGAGUGGGAUAUUAUGCCCUUGUACCCUCUUUGUAUUACUGCAGUGGCUGCUGACUACUCAAAACUUCUCUUGGGACUGUUAAUAGGUACAAUGGCAGUUAUCAAUGGUUUUUCCCCUCCCUGACCUUGUUAAGCAAGCACCCCACCCCACCCUACGCUCAGUUCCCGUGGCAUAAUAAAGUAUAAACAUUGCAGUAUUCCAUGCACUUGUCCCUCAAACAGUGGUCCAUACUCCCGCCCCAUUUGCAUUGCUCCAGUGUGUAAAAUCACAGGUAGCCAUGGUGUCACGCUUUACAUCCUCGCCCUGCCCCUUGUGUGCCCUUGGCCCCUUUUUACAGACUAUUGUUCACAAUCUCAGGUGUCCAUAUAUUUAGCUAUUAGAUAAGAUUAUGUUCUCUCCCUUCUCCGUUCCCCCUACCGUGCCCCUUUUGCCUCUUUGCUGGGUAAUGUUGACUGGACAAGGCCUUUUCUCUUAGACUUAAAAAAUUAUCAGUGGCACUUUCCUUGGUCCCACCCAUUAUACAUGAACUCCUCUACUUUCUUUCGCAUUGCUUCUGAGUAGCGCUGACUACCCAAAGCCCCUUCUGGGUUAUUAAUGAACACAGUACCGAUUGUCCCAUUUUUCAGCACAUCAGUCCAAGAGCUCCCUACCACUUUGGUGUGUUUGUGCAGUGUUGACUAUGAAAAGCAGGCCUGAACUAAGUGGAUAAGCCUUCACUCUUUUUCUUUCAUUUAUUAAUGAUCCCAGUUUCAAUUAUUAUCAGAUUCUGAGGACAAGAACCAUUCUUGCCCACCUCUGUUACUGCUUUACUGUGCAGAGUACUCAAAGCAAGUCAGACCCAGGAAGCUGGAUUGCCAUCUUCUAUUGUGUUUCCAGUGCACACUAUCAAAUUGCCUCCCCAAGAAGGAAGGUUGGCACUUCCUCUGCAUUCUUCUUUCCAGAGAAGAUUGCCUGGUUAAAGAAUCUCUUGUCAUCUCUUUUGUAUAUUGUUAUUGUAAAGUGCCAAAUGCCAGGAUACAGCCAGAAAAAUUGCUGUUGUUAUUAUUUAAAAAAAAAAAAUUAAGAAAGACAUCUGGAUUGUAAUGUGGACUCAAUAACCUGGUCAUUAUUUUUUGAAGCCAAAAAUCCAUUUAUACUAUGUACUGGAUGACCAGUGUCAUUUUAACUGAGGGUGGUGAGUCUGUGGAUAGACCACUGUGACUCUUGCUAUUUUAAUAUUAUCAAAGGCUUUCUAGAGUGAAACUCUUAAGACCAGCAUCUUUGUGUGGGCUUUACCAGCACUUUUAGAAGAACUACCUACAUUUUAUAAUCCUUUAAUUUCUUCACCUGGAGCACCUCCCCCUACUUAUUUAGAGAAGAUUGAAGUAAAACGAUUAAAUAAGAAAACGUAUGCAGAGGUGCUUUUAGAAGAUGCCACCUUUUUGAUUAAUCUAUUAUGUAAAAUGAAGAAUCUAAUUAUACUAAAAAUUUGAAGUAGUUUGAAGUAUCACACUGAAGGUGAGGACUUAAAAAUGAUGGAACCAGUUCCCUAUUUCAUAAGAAAAAUAAGCCAAAAUUAAAUACUAUAUUGUAUAUAAAUUUCAAAAGUGAGACAGCUGUCUAAUAGAAAUGAAUAAUAUCCCAGCCACUAGUGUACAGGGUGUUUUGUGGCAAAGGAGUAUGUAAUAUGGAACUGCUCAAGCAAAUUAGUCCUCACAACAGUAGUUCUUUGUAAUAACUGAAAAAGAAUACUGUUUCUCUGAGAAGGAUGUCAAAAGAUCGACCCAGCUCAGGGAGCAGUUUGUUCUACUAGCUCCUCGGACAGCUGUAAGAAGAGUCUCUGGCUCUUUAGAAUACUGAUUCCAUUGAAGAUACCACGUUGCAUGUGUCCUUAGUAGUCAUGCCUCCUUUGGCUCUCUUGGACAUUCUGAGUAUGUGAGACCUGAAGACUGCAAACAUCUUUAAGAGGCUCCAAAUUCAGCAGAUCUUUCCCUUUGAGAAUCUGGCCAAGCUCCAGCUAAUCUACCUGGAUGGGUUGCCGACCACCUGGAGAAAAAGGUGGAGAUGGGGCAUGAGGAUCCUCCAGGGGAAAAGCUCACUACCACUGGGCAACAAUCCUAGGUCAUGAGGUUCUGUCAAGAUACUUUCCUGGUCCCAGAUAGGAAGAUAAAGUCUCAAAGACAACCACCACAUGUCAAGGAGAACAUGGACAACUGUCACAUCAGUGACACUGAUCACAUGGGCAAAUCAUUCUGUUCCAUCUGGUCUCCAAAGUCUCUCUUAAAGCCUUACAGAAAAACUUUGCUGGUCAUUUACAUACUUCAAGAUGGCCUGGGAUGCCAUGGGUUACAACACAACAAGUGAGAGCUCUUCAUCGUUCCUAUUUGCCAGAUCAUUAUCCUUCCUACAAGCAGUGCAGAGAGCUGGGUCUUCAACAGGUCCAAGAAACUUGAACAUGCUGAAAGAAGUCAGCCUUCUUACCUGAAGAUCAACACACAUGCCUGGCACUCGAGCACUUAAGGAUAGUGGAAUGAAGUAAGUUUUUGGUGUUGCAUUCCUGUGGGGAUCACUUCAGAACUGUUAAAACAGCUGUUUUUUGGGAGCCAGUGUUGGAUAGGUGUCUUGUCUCUUCUGCUACUUACUACCUCUGAAUGUCUGCAUUUGCUUAUCUCUUGCUCUCGUGUGUAUUUCUUUGUCUUUGUUCUUUCUUUUCUUUGUUCUUUGUCUCUCUAUAUUUCUUCCUUGUCUUUGUUGUUUGUUCUCUAUCUAAAGUGUGUUUUACCCAUUUCCGUGUUUUUUCUUGCUAAUUUCUUUCAUGUGUGCCUUUGCCUCAUUUUCUCUUGUUCACAAAGAGUGGUCUGUGCCUUGUCUUAGACAUAAGUCUCAUUUUUCAUUUUGUUGCUGUUUCUCUUUGUUUUCCUAGAUGUGGCUGUUCUUUCACGCUUUAUUUCAUGUCUCCUUUUGGGUCACGUGCUUUGUGCUUUUUGUCCGUUUCUUGUUCUGCCAACCUCUCCUUUCUCUGCCUACCUCUUUUUUCUCUUCAUGAACUGUGACUAUUUGUUAUCCCUUCCCCUUAUUUGUUGUAAAUUUCACCUUUUUCUGAGUCUGGCCUCCUUUCUGCUGUUUCUACUUUUUAAUCUCACAUUUCUCAUUUCUGCCUCUCUUGGGCUAUUUUCUCUCUUUCCUCCCCUGUGUUCCUCUGUGUCUCUUGCUGUUUGUGAUUUUCUAUUUCAGUAUUAAUCUCUGUUUGUUUGUGUUUCUUCUCUGCUUCUUCCCUUUCUACUCACCUUUGAGUAUUUCAGCCUCAUCAUGAGUCUGUCUCCCUCUCUUUGAUUUCAUGUAUUCUUUUCUCCUUAAAUAUUUCUUUGCAUAUGUGGGCAUGUGUACAUGUGUGUGUGUCAUGUGUGGCAGAGGGGCUUCCUAACCCCUGCCUGAUAGGUACAGAACAUUGGCUAUCAGAAGUAAGCAUUAUGGAGUGGUUCCAUAUGCCAGGCUGCCGUGUGAGAUGAUCCAAGACCAAAACAAGGCCAUAGAAUCCAGACUGCAGUAAAACCCAAUACUCAAGUAGCACGGAAGGUGAAAGGCUCAUAUGGAUAGAAGGCCCAAAGUAGAAGACAGAUGGUUUGAAACUUGAGACUCAGACUAAGAUGGAAAGCCCAUGUUCCAAGAUAUAUAGAAGCCUCUGUCCUGAAACCAACAAAAGCCUCAAGAACCAAGGAAACAGAGGGUGGCCUGGAUCGGACAGAAGGCCUGAGUUGGAUGGAAUGUUCAAGUCUUGAGUUAGAAGGCUUAAGACCUGGAAUAUGACACGUACGUGGAAGGCCUGAGACUGAGACUUGUGACACAAGGCCAAAGACCUAAGAUUAGCCCCAGGUUGUAGGUGGAAGACCUACAACCCAAGGAUGGAAGGUUCCUGACACAAAGCCUACCUAGAUGGAUAGAGGACCCAAGUGAAACAGAUAUCUCAAGACUAAAGGCCAGAAUCUGGAGGCCCAUGACCCAGAACCAAGGAAGAAUAGAAGCUUGAAGACCCGGGGAAAUCCCAAGAUGAGAACCCUAAACACCACCUCUUUUCUAUUGUUAUACUUCUUACUCUUAGAUAUUUCCAGUUCUCCUGUUUCUCUUUAAGCUUGAUUCUUUUGAGAUGUUCUUUUUGAUAUUGCCAGUUACCUUAAAGGAACAUAUCUUUAGGUUGACAGUAUUAUGCUUGGGCCAGUCUGGAGCCAGUUUUAAAUCACAGUUUUUACCUCUUUGUUAGGCUUUAGUGUUUUGUAAACUUCUGUUUCUAUUCACAUCUACUCCACUUGAGAGAGAUACCAAAAUCGAGUCAGUAUCUAAUCUGGCUUUUGUUAUUCCCCUCAGGAGCAAGCAUUCAUAUAGGUGAUAUUAUAUUUCAGUCUUCCCUUUUAAUCUCAGAAGCCCUAGACUGAUGAGAAGAUAAAAUGGUCAGGUUGUUGGGGAAAAAAUGUGCCAGGCUCUCUAGAGAAAAAUGUGAAGAGAUGCUCCAGGUCAAUGAGAAGAAUUAGACAAGAAAUACACAGAUGUGCCAGACUUCUGAGAAGCACGUGCCAGCAACCGCUUCCUUCUUUGAGCUUAGGUGAGCAGGAUUCCUGGGAUUUGGGAUUUCUAGUGAUGGUUAUGGAAAGGGUGACUGGACUUGGGACAAAGUGAGGUCCCAAAGAGACAGCCUGAACUCCCUGCUCAUAGUAGUGGCCAAAUAAUUUGGUGGACUGUGCCAACCCUACUCCUGGGUUUAAUACCCAUCUCUAGACUUAAAGAUGAGAAAACCUCGGACUAUUUAGCACAUUUAAUACUUUCCUUGAUUUUUUUCUUCCCAUUUAUGUGGGAAGUUGAUUUAAAUGACUGAUAAUGUAUAUGAAAGCACUGUAAAACAGAAAAACCAAGGCGUGCUCCUUAAUAGUGUAUUGGGAAUCAUGCACAGUUAACAUUUGAAAGUGCAGUGUAAGUUGUGAAGCAUUAUGUAAAUCAGGGGUCCUCAGUUUUUCUGUAAGUGGUCAAAUCAUAAAUACUUUAGACUGUGGGCCAUAUGGUUUCUGUUACAUAUUCUUUUUUUAAACAACCUUUUCAUAAGGUCAAAAUCAUUCUUAGCUUUUGAGCCAGUUGGAUUUGGCCUGCUGUUCAUAGCUUACCCACCCCCUGAUGUAUUAUUUGUUUUAUUCAGAGAAAAUGUCUGACUACUACUGAUUUCCUUUUCUAUCUCUGUCCUGUGCUAGGCACUAAAAAUGCAGUGAUUUGUGAUCACAUCCAGGUGACCUGAAGAAAAAUAGUGAAUGUGCUUUGUAAACUAUAAAGCACUUGUAUUCUAUUGUGAUAAUCAUUGUGGACACAAAGAAAGGAGCAAGCAAGAAAAAGUGCUCUUUCAAAAAGAUCUAGUGCUAUGCAGAUGCUAGAAUUAAGUGUUUGAUAAAUGAAUAAAUUGUAUGUAUUUUGAGGCUAAUUUGUUUCUGCUGCUCUGGUGAUUUUGACUAAAAAUGCAGUAUUCCAGGUAUCAGAAAUGAAAACACAUGGAAGCUGCUUUUAAACUUUAAAAUAUACUGAAAACAAGGGACUAAGCUUAUUGUGGUCACCUAUAGUGUGCCAGAUACCAUUCUGGGCACUAGAGAUCACAAAGGGGAAAAAAUGUUCUCAUAGAGCAAAAAGUUUCAGAAAGGUGCAUAUUAAAGUCCUUUGUAAACUAAAGCACAAUACAAAUGUCAGUAGGCUACAUAUUUAUGAAUGAAUGAAUAUUAACUGCCUCUUACAUACCAGCUAUUGUUUUUGGUUCUGUGAAAUACAAGAUUAAUUCUCCUAUGUAAUAGGAGGAAAAUUUAUCCUCUAUACUAUUUCGAUGUAAGGAAUGAGAUACUGCUUAAAGAGUGAAGACUUUAGUGGUGAGGUCAAGUUAAAUUAUUACUGGUAUAUUUUCCCAGGUCACCUGGGAGGAGAUAGAAUGAGGAAAUGAAGCAAUAGAUAUGAGAUCCAGACCAAAAGUCUCCUGUAAGAUAGGUAUUGUCUCUACAAAAUUCUCAUUGUAUACUUAAACCACAAUGAGAAGGGUUCUAUAAGUAGUUAUACAAAUUAAGGGUUUAAAUACCUGUUAAACGGAUCAAUUUUGAUUGCCUACUAUGUUAACUCACUGUUAAAGGCACUGAAAAUUUAUCAUAUUUCAUUUACCCACAGCCAAAAAUAAGGCAAUACCUAUGUUAGCAUUUUGUGAACUCUAAGACACCAUAUAAAUGUAACUAUUGAUUUUCUCACUUGGUGCUGAGUACCAGGUUUAUAAAAUUGUAUGAUAGUUGUUACAUUGUGCAAAUAAAGCAGGAAAUUUUGAGUAACAAUGAUUAACUUUUAAAUAUUCAUAUGCAAGGGGUUGUCUGAAGUAUAGUAGUUAACGAUUGUGUGCCAAUCUCAUUGCUAGGCAAUGGGGAAUGCAAAGAUAAACCAUCUUUAUUGUGUUCUGGGUAGCAGAAGAAAAUAUGUGUAAAAUCAAUUUAUAAUUUCUAAACUGCCACCCAUAUAUAAGCAAUAUCUGCUGAAUGAUCAUUGACCAGUCUUAUCCUUAGAGAUAAGAACUGGGGCACAAAAAUUUAUUAUCAUUAUUGAACGUACAACAGAAACCUACUUGUAAAUUUACAAAGUCUACAGUUCUAUACAGAUAGGAAUGAACUACUGGUUUACUGAAUGGUGAUUACUUUCUGUGGGGCUCAGAACUACAUGUCCUAGGAUAUAAAAAUGAUAUUAUCAUUAUGGAGUGCUCACAGAAGGAAAUGAAGUAAUUAAUAGGUAUGAGAUCCAGACCAAAAGUCACUUAACAGGCUUAUUUAGUGAUGAAAACAUGGGAUAAAUGGACUUGUAUAAGGCAGCGUACUAAGCUAAGUAGAGAAAUAAAGUCCUGUCCAGAAGGAUACAUGCUCCCUGGCCUGACUGAAGAGAUGGAAAUUUUUUGCAAAAAGCAAGAUAUUGUAGUCUUCCAUCCAGUUUCUUAAAUGCUGGUGAUAGAAAUGAAUUAGACCCACCUUGGCCUGUCUUACAGGCAGUAAAGGAGUAAAAAUAAAGGCCUCAGGUUUGCUUUUUUAUUUAUUUGAUUAAAAAAAGCACCUUUUAUGUGGAAUAUGCCAUUCUGGGUCCUGAGGAUAAGAGAUCACUGACAGCUGAAGAUAGAAAAUAUAUCUUUGGUUUGAUUGUGUAAAUAAUAUUUCAGUGCCUAGUCUCUGCAAGGCAUUAUGCUUGGUAAAUUAGUAAAUUAAAUAGGUCUGGCCCGGAAGACCCAUUCAAUUGCCUUUGAGAUUAAAAAAAAAAAAGAAAAAGGCAAAUUUCUUUCAAAAUAAAGAGACAUUUUUCUUAGUUUCAGGAAUCCCUCAAAUCACUUGCUCAUUGGCUUAGUUUGAAGCCAGGAAACUGAUAAAAGGGCUCAGGGUUUGUUAAUGUUUAAUUCAUAAAUUAAACAUUCUGUUCUUAUUACAGUUAAAUGAUUCAAGAUUAAACAACUAGUUUUAAAGGUAUUUGCUCAUUGACCUGGCUUAGAGACAGGAAGACAUUUGAGCAACGAAAAAGAUUUUUUUACAUUUAUCAUAUUUAGUAAAAAUUUAUUAAAACUGAAUAAAAUGCUGUUCUUAAGUGCUUUAAAGACCCAAACCAAAAUGCACUUUAUCUCAUCUUAUGGUGGAAACAUAAGAGCAAAUUCUAUAAGAGAUUGUGUUUCUUUCUUUAGUUGAGAAAAAACUUCAUUGAAUAGCUGUGGUAUGUUCAAUGCUAAGGAAAAAUUAAACAGACUAUCUUUGGCAUGCUCUGUAGAGUCGGAAUAAGAGGGCUUUUUAUUUUUUCAUUCAUAUGAAUAUUGAUAAAGAUGAUAUUAAAUGCUAAAUGAAAUAUAUCUGCUCCAAAAGGUAUUUAUUCUGACUCAGAGAUGCAAGAAAAGCACAAGUGAUACUCUACAUCAAACAGAAGUCACUGUUACGUCAACCACUGUGUUAAAUCCUAGACAGAAAACAAAAAAGAUCAUUACUAAAAGACAAUUGCUUAUUAAUUGGCUUGGAGACUAGAAUAUAGGAGAAAGGUUAGUUUAUUAUUAGUUUUAAUUUAUUCAUUCAUUCUACAAAUAUAUUUGUGUGCCAGUAGUACUUGGUAUAAGGUUUUUGGUAGGUUCUUAUUUGGCCCCAGAGACAUGGGGAAAAAAAAAUGCAUGUUCCCAGAGAACGCCUGGUGCUUUCCUUUUGGCCUGCUUUCUUGUUAGGGGCAUGGCUUAGUCCCUAAAUAACAUUAUGUUGUUUAAUUCCUACUCCAUAUCUCUUCUACCACUCUGGCCACUACAAUAAGCAGGUAGCUGGGUUUUGUAGUGAGCUUGCUCCUUAAGAUGCAGGAACUCUCCUUAUAAGACAGUUGAUUUUCCUAGCCCAUCCCUCAUGAAAAAUGACUGACCACUGCUGGGCAGAAGGAGGGAUGAUGACCAACUAAUUCCCAAACCCCAGUCCCGUUGGUACCAGUCUUGGGGAACCACCUAUACUUGAGGCACAGUUGGUUUUUGAAGUGCAUUUACAAGAUUUGUCUGUCUUCAGUUUUUUACUUUUUACGUGCUGACACAUACAUACACUGCCUAAAUACAUCUCUUUCAGAAACAGUCUUCAGAUAACACAUAGCAGAAUGGAGAUGGAGACAUGAUUUCUCUUGCAACAGCUUCUCAACUUAUAUCUUAGAAAUGUUCUCCUUUUUAAUCAUUAAAUUUGCUCAAGAAGGGCAUUUUAUAGUAGAAUAAUAUCUGGAUGAAAACAGCUUAACAUUUUACCAUGCUUAAGUUUUAAGAAUAAAAUAAAAAUUGGAAAUAAUUGGCCAAAAUUGAAAGGAAACUUUUUCUUAAAAGUUCUCUAAAUGUAGGCCUGACUGGGCUUUGACCUUUUCCAUUUUUAAAUCACUCACAGAGGGUGGGACAGGAGGAAGAGUGAAGGAAAAGGUCAAACCUAUUUCUAAGGGCAGCCUUCCUUUGUUCUGAAUUGGCCUUAAGAACAUUAGCUGCUCAAGGUCUAAAUUGUUUCAUGCAGUUCCAAUAACUGAUAAUUGUUGAGAUGAGAACAACAUUCUUGGUCCUCACUAGUUUGCUUCACAUUUUUGAAAAGUAAUUAUUUUUGUCCAGUUGCUUAUCAAAUAAACCUUGUGUUAGAUAAGAAUGGAAUGUAUUAAGUGAAUCAGUGUGACCCCUCUACUGUAAAAUUAUCUUAAAGCUGAAGCCAAAAUUGCUUCAAAGGAAGACUUUAUUGUUCAUUGUAGUUCAUACAUACUUUCAAAGCAUCUAAACUGUAGUUUUCCAUGGCAAGCCAAUUACAUCCAUAAGUGGAGAAGGAAAUUGAUAAAUGUCAAAGUAUGAUUGGUGGAGGGAGCAAGGUUGAAGAGAAUCUGGGCUUGAAAUUUUCUAGUUUCCAUUCUAUACAUUUUUAGACAUCAGAUUUGAAAUAUUAAUGUUUCUCUUUUAGUGUGUGGUAUCAGCUGGACUCAGUAACAUCUCUUUCUUCAGGUGGGGAUGGGGAAUGCAUUAUUGGAAAAUGGAAAGAAGAAAGUAACUAAAAAGCCUUCCUUUCACAGUUUCUGGCAUCACUACCACUACUGAUUAAACAAGAAUAAGAACAUUUUAUCUUCAUGUGCUUUAUUCACAUAAAUGAAGUUGUGAUAAAUAAAUAUGCUUUUAUGCAGACACAAGGAAUUAAGUGGCUUCAUCACUGCCGUUCAACCUCAAAGAGAAUUUAUUCCAGAAUGCUAAGAUAAAUGGAAAUGGAAGACUCUUGAAUUUGUGAACUGAUAUGAAAUGCAGAAUCUCUUUUGAAUCUUUGCAGUUUUGAAGACUGAAAAACAUUGUUCAGCAUGUGUGACCACCAAAAAGCAAUCUUAAGCCAUCUAGAUGUCAAAACUGAAGCAAACUGGGGAGUUGGUUGCUAUUGUAAAAUAAAAUAUACUGUUUUGAAAACUU